GGCGCCCACCAGCCUAGACUCACGGACCCUCCCGCCUUGUCCCCGGCUCCACCCUAGCGUCACUCAGGCCGGGGCCCGUCUACCUGGGAAAUCACGGGGCCUGUCAGGAGCCUGACGGUGGCGCGGAAGGCAAGCUGCCGAGAGGCCAAGCAGAGUGCCCAGGCCCAGCACCCAGGCAGGCCCGGCCCCGCCACGUCCAAGGCUCCCGCCCUCUGGAGUAAGCGGCGCGAGCGCUCUGGAGGCGGGGAGAGAGACAGCUGAAAGGAAGGAGGUACCGCCAGGCAGUCUCUCGCGAGAGGGCGGAAGAGCCGUUUCGACGGGGGCGUGUGCCCGCUGAGGCCGAUGAGCAGGCAAGAGUUCAAUGCCGUCCGCCGCCUCCGCGCAGAAGAUUUCAUUAGACGCCCUGAGCGAUGCUUCGGUGCCUGCAGAACUCUGGUGUCCGGGAUUCGCGGCCCAAAAGAAGUAGAACAAAUCACAUGUGGACCACGUGGGGGCAUGGAACCCAGAAGCUGUCACUCGACGGCCUCUGUGAAACCAGAACAUGCCCUGGAAAAUCCUAACUGUUUAUCUGUGAGGUGGUUUCUAUGAAGAUUAAUCAUCCCAGAAACUAUUAGAGGUCUACUCAACCUGUCCCAUUUAAAAGAUAGAAUCUGAAGAUUUAAUGAGAAAAAGCACUUGAAGAAUUCAAAACUGUGGCUAAUCAGCUACUCAACAUUCAGAAGACCCCAACCAAGUAAAUUUCCUUUUUGAGAUUGUGACUGUGCCUGCCAGAGUGUGACUUAUGCUGCCCCUGCUAAGAACAAGCCUCACCCAGGGAGGAGACUGUAUCCUCUCACCGCCUCAUGCUCAAGGCUCUCCUGUACUACACACACUGCAAGCAAGACAAACAGAAAACAACCAACCAACUUGAUCCCUGCCCUAAGGAGAUUAGAGAAAUAAAUAGCUAGGCAUUUCAGUGCCUAGAUUGG
rnacentral:lncRNA from 1 species